GACGAACGCUGGCGGCGUGCUUAACACAUGCAAGUCGAACGGAAAGGCCCUGCUUUUGUGGGGUGCUCGAGUGGCGAACGGGUGAGUAACACGUGAGUAACCUGCCCUUGACUUUGGGAUAACUUCAGGCAACUGGGGCUAAUACCGGAUAGGAGCUCCUGCUGCAUGGUGGGGGUUGGAAAGUUUCGGCGGUUGGGGGUGGACUCGCGGCUUAUCAGCUUGUUGGUGGGGUAGUGGCUUACCAAGGCUUUGACGGGUAGCCGGCCUGAGAGGGUGACCGGCCACAUUGGGACUGAGAUACGGCCCAGACUCGUACGGGAGGCAGCAGUGGGGAAGAUUGCACAAUGGGCGGAAGCCUGAUGCAGCAACGCCGCGUGCGGGAUGACGGCCUUCGGUUUGUAAACCGCUUUCGCCUGGGACGAAGCGUGAGUGACGGUAAUGGGUAAAGAAGCACCGGCUAACUACGUG
rnacentral:rRNA from 1 species